CAUUUUUCUUCUCUCUCACCUCUUUCUCAGCGGAAUUCCUCACCUCUCUCUCUGAUUUUUUUUCUUUGUAAGUUUUCAUGGAGAUCGAGUCUGCUCAUUGACUUCCUUUCUCAUCUCUUUCCUUAUUCCUUCUCAACCUGCCUCCAUCGUCUUCUUCUACAAAGUCUCCAGAUCCAGAAGGUGGAGUACAAGUCAAUACCUUAAAAAGAAAAUUGACUUCAAUGGUAGAUUGUACUUUCAAUUGUAAAAUCCUUCUCGCUACCAACUGGGGUGCGGAUUACUUCAACUGGUUCCUAUUCUGAUUCCUGAUGAUGAUGGUGCGGUAGUUGUGAUGAAGUAGAAGACGGUCAGUUUGCUAAGAAGACUUCUCGUUACACUGUUGUUUGUUUUGUGAGGUCAGGGAUUUUCUGAUAUCAUGAGUUGAUGUUGUUUCUGUUCGGGUGGUGAUUUUGAGGAAUUGGUAUGGAUCGUCUUCAGUGGAUGAACCAAUUUUCUUACUACAAGAGCAUAAUGGACCUGCUUAAUUAUGAUGUCAAAUUCUUUGGUGAUGGAGAUGAUUCUAUACAGUUGAGCAGGGUGACCGACUAUUUCGCAAGCCAUUCACUCAUUAGGAAGGAAAUUCGUACCUCGACUAGCUCAAUGAGUUUUGUUGCAAAACCACUUAAGUUUCUCCACCCACAUUAUGGAACAUUAGAUACUUUCUAACAGUGGAAGAUUCAGAGUUGAAGAAAUGCCUAGCCGACACACUUUUCGUUUUGGAAGAUUCAGAGUUCAAGAAAUACCUAACCGACACACUUUCCGUUUUGGCAUUAACAACGUCUGUCGAAGUAAAAGGGGUAGGUGAAAGCUUCACAGUUUACUCUUUGUUUUUGCAGUCACAGUUUGAAGUUUAAUAAGGGAUAACCUUGAAUUGUAAUUAUAACAAUAGAUGAAGUUAUAGGGCAUGUUUUUCAUUUAAGGGUCAUUCUAAUCUGGCUACUGGCAUAGUUUUCUACUAAAAUACCUGAUUAAAUAACUCGAACAAUUGAACUGGUUUGUGUUUGUUCAUUUUGCAUGUUUUGCAUCUGCUGGAGAAACUAAAUAAUUUGUUCUCCGGUUGGGUGAGAUUAGUUAGGAGCUGGGCAGAUGUACAACGAGCCUAAAGGCUUUAUCUCUUAUGGUUCUGGGAAGUUACCCUUUCAUAGCUAAGCUAUCUGGACCCAACUUUUCCUUGUGAAUAAAUAUUGCAUCUCUUCUGAAGACUUUUUUUAAUCGACUUCUAUUUUCACUGGGUUUGUCAUCCUACAAAACACCACAUUAAUUAUGGGUGUUGUUUCAUCUCUUUCAAACUUUGGAGAAGAUUGGCAAUGCGGAACUUGAAGUUUGAUCUUCUAAGUAGAUUUGAUUUUUUUAGUUCCUCAUUUGGUAUUUGCUGGUGUGAUUGCUGGUGCAUGAUGAUGUGAUUCUUCUUGGUUUCCGUAUUACUAUGAAUGGAUUAGCUUGCUUAUAUAACUAUAGUUGCUCCCUACUUUUCUCAUGUUUAGGUACUCUUACAGUGUCAUAUGCCAUUUUUUGAACUUGUCGGGCAGUUAAUCAUUUUUGCUUGUUUGAACUUAUCUUUUAGGUUUUAAACUCGGGUCUGCGAAACAUAUAGCAGAAGCAAUAGUGAAGAAGGACGGUGUCGUAAGGUUGACUUCUGUAGUUGAAGGGCUAGUUGUGUUGAAAACAACCCAGAUAAGUCAUGCGCCAUGCUCAGGGGUGUGUUAUACUUGACAGACACGGGGCUCACAUCAAAGGAAAGGGUUACUUGUUGAAGACGGAUUCGAUUAUAUGAAAGUGCC